UUUUCUUAUUCUAGCCGUGGACAUUGGAAGAAGGACCGAUUGUAUAUAAUGUUGUCGCAAAGGCCCUUGAAGGGGCACUGUUUAUGCACCGAUACGGGCAGUCCGAGUCAAUCUUCCUGCAAUGCAGCGACCUUUGGCAGCGACGUAUCAACUCUUUCGAUCUUAUCCUAUUCUCGACGAAGAUUUUUUUUCCUCAGUGAAACAUAUUUUUGAGUCAAAAAAAUUGAGUGUAACUGAAAUGAAGUAUUUUAUUUAAAUUUAGAAAAAAAUUGGUCUCAUUGAUGUUUCUUUAGAUGAAAAAAAAAUAUUAAUUUUAAUUAAAGAAAAUUUCUUUGUCAAGAAAAAAUUAGCUGUGUGGGUGCCUUUCUUUAGAUUUUCGCGUUUUCGGAUGAUCUGCUCGUGCUUGAAGAAAGUUCAUACGAUCAUACGAUUCGGCUUCUUCCGGAACUUUUCGGGUAAGUACGACAGCGUGCUUCGUAGUUUCCCUCCAAAACUCACGACCUAACCUACAAUUCCGCCGUCCGUUUCCGAUAUGCCUGGUUGCGCUUUGCGCUAGCUAGCCGUCCAGCCGUUACCUCGUCUCGUUGUUACAGCCAGAGACGAUUUUGGUGUAUUUUUCCAGUCUCUCUUCUGAUGCAGCCUCCAAAAUAAAUGUUUUUGAAGGGCUUCCUGCACUCCAGCUUGCUCCCUCUUUCUGGAUUUCUUACAUUCUGGAUUAAGAAAGCGGCUACUAUUCUAUGACAUGGCUGUCAGUUUCUCAUCUGAGCAGUCAUCCGAUAGGAAAUUAGCAGCGACUAAAAAUCAUCUGGUUUUGAGAAAUUCACCAUGAAUCGCCUCAAAGCAACAUCAUCAAAAGAAGUUGAAGUGUGUUCAGAGAAAAUAAACAUAAGUACUUAGCAGCUAUUGUUUUCCUAAAAAUUUUAUGUCUGACCGGAAAUUUUUUAAGAAAUUUGAAGUGGUGUGAAGUUCGAUUAGUUACCUUUAAUAUGCAUUGCUCUAUUCUAAAGGAGAAAAUAAAUGAAAGUGAAAGUGCUGUGUCCAAAGUAUCAUGAAUAGCAUCAUUGGUGUUUUUCUUCAGGUUUUAUUUUUGAUGAAGGAUCAGUUGAAUUUGGUGAGUCAUAUCUAUUAUAUUUUCCUUUUGCAUGCUAUUUUGCCACAGGAAACUGUCAAUAAAUGAAAUAAAAUUACCUAAUGCCCUUGUAAUUGAAUCAAUUCUGCAUUUUUUCCCUUCGGUUUGUUGGCUCCAUGAGUCUGAAGCAUGUAGGUACGAAUUUAUUCUGAGAAAUAAGCCUGAAACGGGUGGUGUAUAUCACCCUGUUAAAUUUCACCAUAAAGUAUUGCAGCUAACAGGCCUCGUUCCGACACUAAAGCUGCAGUAAUAUUAAGAAAAA